rnacentral:rRNA from 1 species
AGGACGAACGCUGGCGGCGUGCCUAACACAUGCAAGUCGAACGGAGAUAUACUGUAACAGAGAGGAGCUUGCUCCAGGAAGUUUUUGAAUAUCUUAGUGGCGGACGGGUGAGUAACGCGUGGGCAAUCUACCUUUUACAGGGGGAUAACACAAGGAAACUUGUGCUAAUACCGCAUAAGACCACAGCACGACAUCGUGCAGAGGUCAAAGGAGCAAUCCGGUAAAAGAUGAGCCCGCGUCUGAUUAGCUAGUUGGUAAGGUAACGGCUUACCAAGGCGACGAUCAGUAGCCGGACUGAGAGGUCGAACGGCCACAUUGGGACUGAGACACGGCCCAGACUCCUACGGGAGGCAGCAGUGGGGAAUAUUGCACAAUGGGGGGAAAAACCCCUGAUGCAGCAACGCCGCGUGAAGGAAGAAGGCCUUCGGGUUGUAAACUUCUUUGACAGGGGACGAAAGAAAUGACGGUACCCUGAAAACAAGCCACGGCUAACUACGUGCCAGCCGCCGC